UACAGAGGGUGCGAGCGUUAAUCGGAAUUACUGGGCGUAAAGCGUGCGUAGACGGUCAUGUAAGUCGGGUGUGAAAGCCCCGGGCUCAACCUGGGAAUGGCCGUUGAAACUGGCGAACUGGAGUGUGGCAGAGGGGGGUGGAAUUCCGCGUGUAGCAGUGAAAUGCGUAGAGAUGCGGAGGAACACCGAUGGCGAAGGCAGCCCCCUGGGCUGACACUGACGCUCAGGCACGAAAGCGUGGGGAGCAAACAGG
rnacentral:rRNA from 1 species